GGCGACCCCUAACGGGGCAAGCCGAAAGGAAAAGAAGAAGAAAUGGGAUGGAUUGUUCCCAACGAAAUACACAUGCCUGUGUAGCGAUCAUUUCAGUCCGAAGGGGGGCACAAUUCCUGUGCAUCCUGAAGGCCGGUCCCAAGGCCAGAUAAAUGCAGAGGGUUGCGGCAGGAAGAGCAUCCGGCAUAAAACGGUCCAGAGCAGGCAGGAUUCAUUUGGAUCCUCCACAUCCUGGCCACCAGCUCAUCCAGCUCCUUCCGCCGGGAAAGCGCUACAGAUCAAUACAAGUCAAAACUACCAGGCAUCCGAACAGAUU